UCCAGGUGGCAAACCGUAUAAUGUCUUCUGACUCUGUUUCAUCUGCUGGUAGUUGUUUGAGCUUGGACUCUACUCUGUCCAAUGAGGAAAAUGUGCACAUGUUGAAUAAGGGUGUACAAGCUGGUAACUUGGAGAUUGUGACUGGUGCCAAAAAAUACACUCAGGAUGUUGGGGUGACUUUCCCAACGCCCAGUUCUAGUGAGGCCAGAUUGGAAGAGGAUAGUGAUAUGACUUCUUGGUCAGAAGAAAAAGCCAAAGAGAAAAAGUUCCUUUCCAACUAUCUGCGGGGCAAAAACUUAAGGAAAAACAAGCCAAAUCCCUGUGAAGGUCGGUUUCUAACUCUGGGUAGCUGGGAAAUGAGUAAAAGGCAUGUCUAAGUCUAUUGUAACACUGAGGACCCGUGCUUUUGCUCUCCUGCCGCUGGUCACCACAGUGGCAUAUUUUGAAAGCAACUAGAACUUUAUGUAGAGUCUCACUGUGGUGAAGACCAACUCAAGGGCACCUUAAAGGUUGUCACCCCAACAGAUGAGUCCUGUGCAAGUCAGUAUUACAUACAUUUAUUUGGUGUAAUUGGGUACAGUUAUUAAAAACGUUUCUUGAAAAU
rnacentral:lncRNA from 1 species